UUCACACUAUUUGAAUUUCUCCCAAUUUCACAAGGCAGAGCAGUUUCGGGUUGAUCAAGCCCGCCAACUACAGAACUACGCGGCAAUUGCGUUACACCGGGAUCGCCUACCGCCGCACAAUCAAAGGCAUCGGUGAUUCUUAUUGCUAUUGAUUUCUCUGCAAAGUUUAGGUUGAAGCUGCAAUCGAGGAUUAAAAAUGUGUUAAACACAUACCUUAUGAAAUGAUACAUCACCAGCGCAUCUUUUUGAGUCCUCCACAAUGAAGAGUUAAGGUUGUCUGCAUAUUGCAUGCAAGGGAUGCUGAACAGAGAGUUUGUAGAAGUUGAUCAGUACCUCUUUGGUACUGUUUAUUGAAUAGAAUUUAACCUCUGAUCAUUGAAAAAAAGGGGAUGUCUUACAGAGAGUCCAUUCUCAAAGCUCUAGCGUAAUCACAAGAUAGUUAUACCAAUUGAACUAAUGCAGGGUUAGUUGGAUCAACAGGACCAAACAUGUCAAACACAUAUAAUCCAAAGUACACUUGUUAAUACAAAUGUUUGGUUGCCUAUCUUAAGUAUCAUAUCAUAGAAUCACGCUUCAAUGCUAUGUUUUUUAUCAGUGAAAUGAGAGUUCUAACAGGCUUUGGAGGAUCGAUUCCACGUAUGUUGCAAAAUACAGGGAUGAAUAGUGGCUAGGGGCGGAAGGCCAACCAUGAACGAAUAUAGCUGGUUUUCUGCGAAAUCUAUUCAGUAGAGUGUAUGAUUUUGAUGGCCUGAGGUAAAUCACUCAAUGGGCUAGGGUGACCACUGGUACUCUUUGACCGCUCAAUGUAAUGGGGACAAGAUGAUGUGACAUUCUACGGUUGAAUUGUGAAUUGUCACAAUGAAAAGUGAUUGAAUUCAAGAACUGUUGAGAGAAGAUCUGCUGGAGAAAUCUUUCGUUUUUGACUUUGAAUUGAUGAGGAAUGAUUGCAUGUUUCUUAAUAUAGAUUAGGCUGCUUCUCUAAUCGGAUCAUAAGUUCCCUUUUCUAGCUCUUUUAAUUAGAAAAAUGAAACUUCACUUUCACCAAUCUCAUAACUCCCUCAAUUUAGAAAUGUCUUCUGACAAUUUCUUGGACUUGUCUCUCAUUUAUAUCCACUUCUUUGCUUUCCAACAGUCCACCUUAUGUACUUCACUAUAUAAGCAGGUAUUACCUUAGUCAGCCAGAAGCUCCACUUAUUGCAUGAGCAUACGUCCUUGGGGCCAAAUUUUCAGGGCUGUGCUGUAAACUUUUACCUUCUGGGUUGGCCUCUCCUAUCCUAUCGUUUUAGGUAAAGGAUGAUCAGAUAAAAGGAAUAGAGUGUGUAAAUAAUAUGUUAUGAGGUUUCAUUUUGCUAGUUGUUCAGAGACCAAACCAAAAUUUUGACCUUAUUUUUUGUGUUUCACAUUCAUGAAUUUGGACGGCAGGACUCAUGCAAUUAUCUAUCAAAAGAUAUCUACUGACUUGGCUAUGAUUCAAAAUGGGGAAGACAUAGGAUGCACAUUGCACAUUCAUUAAUUUUUUGAAGGAAACUAAUUAGCAAAAGUGAUUAUUUUGAGAAGCAAGACAUAAUGAAAUUCUGCUUAUCACAACAGACAUCUCAAAGCACAUUAUUUAGGCAAGAUCUACAUUAAGAUCAAAAGUACCCAAAAGUUGACAGUAGGUGAAGUGCUGAUUGAGAUACAACUUCAUAACUGUCAAAGGAAGAAAGAACUAUUUAGGGAUAUGAGAUAUGAUUGCUCUACUUAGCUGAUGGAUCAUCCACUAAUGAGCUUAGUAAUCAAAUGGAAGUAGAGGAAUAGCACUUGGUUGCAGAAAAUUUCCAAGUAAAAGACAAUUUAGAGGGGGAGCUGAGACACAUUGGCAAUAAUCGAAAUUAUCAGAUCCAGGGUGAAUCUCUGACAGGGAGAAGAAUUUGAUACCUAGCAAAUUUUUGUCGACUUUCUAUGUUUCCUUCCAGGCGCUUGCUAAUUAGGUUACAACCUUGUGAGUUUGUCUAAUUAGUUUAUUUGUCAAUUGGCGAGUGUAUUGUCUCAGCUUUGCUACUUUAUUCUUGCAUAAUGUCCUUUGAGCUCUUUUGCUUGUUAUUCCGAUUCUUCUGUUAAUUUGGCUGGAUCAAAGCUCUGAAUAUCACGUGGCUUAUCUAAUAGGUGCACUCAGAUAUUGAUAGCUCAUUAAAUAUUAUGUUUAUCAGCAUGAUCAUCAAAA